UACGUAGGGAGCAAGCGUUGUCCGGAAUCAUUGGGCGUAAAGCGCGCGUAGGUGGCCCAGUAAGUCCGUUCUGAAAGUCACAGGCUCAACCUGUGAAAGCGGAUGGAUACUGCUGGGCUAGAGUCCGGAAGAGGCGAGUGGAAUUCCUGGUGUAGCGGUGGAAUGCGCAGAUAUCGAGAGGAACACCUGCGGCGAAGGCGGGUUGCUGGGCUGACACUGACGCUGAAGCGCGAAAGCUAGGGGAGCGAACGGG
rnacentral:rRNA from 1 species